rnacentral:rRNA from 1 species
GACGAACGCUGACGGUGUGCUUUAGACAUGCAAGUCGGACGCGAAAGCCCUUCGGGGUUAGUAGAGUGGCGAACGGGUGAGUAACACGUGGGCAAUCUGCCCCUCGCAGGGGGGACGAACCGGAGGAAACUCCGGCUAAUACCCCGUACGCUUGUAGGAUCGCAUGAUCUUACAAGGAAAGGUAGCUUCGGCCAUCCGGCGAGGGAUGAGCCCGCGGUGCAUUAGCUAGUUGGUGGGGUAACGCCCACCAAGGCGACGAUGCAUAGCUGGUCUGAGAGGAUGAUCAG